rnacentral:rRNA from 1 species
AUUGAACGCUGGCGGCAGGCCUAACACAUGCAAGUCGGACGGUAGCACAGAGGAGCUUGCUCCUCGGGUGACGAGUGGCGGACGGGUGAGUAAUGUCUGGGGAUCUGCCCGUUAGAGGGGGAUAACCACUGGAAACGGUGGCUAAUACCGCAUAACGCCGCAAGACCAAAGAGGGGGACCUUCGGGCCUCUCACUAUCGGAUGAACCCAGAUGGGAUUAGCUAGUAGGCGGGGUAACGGCCCGCCUAGGCGACGAUCCCUAGCUGGUCUGAGAAGAUGACCAGCCACACUGGAACUGAGACACGGUCCAGACUCCUACGGGGGGCAGCAGUGGGGAAUAUUGCACAAUGGGCGCAAGCCUGAUGCAGCCAUGCCGCGUGUAUGAAGAAGGCCUUCGGGUUGUAAAGUACUUUCGGCGGGGAGGAGGGCGAUAAGGUUAAUAACCUUGUCGAUUGACGUUACCCGCAGAAGAAGCACCGGCUAACUCCGUGCCAGCAGCCGCCGUAA